rnacentral:lncRNA from 1 species
CGCUGUCUGUCGUAUCUGCCUCAUCGGAUUCCUGCUUUGCGGACUCGUCAUCAUCAUCAUCUUUGGCAUUUGACUUCUCAGAUGUCAGGCUUGCCCGGAGCUCUUUACCUGGUUCUUCCUUCUGUGCACUGGCUACCAGUCUCACCCUGGGCUCUGGAGGAGUCUCUGUGUUGCUUGCUGUUGACUUGUUUAUAGGAUGCACCCGGG